rnacentral:tRNA from 1 species
UAUAACUCAGUGAUAGAGUGCUUGCCUAGCAUGCAUGAAGGCCUGGGUUCAAUCCCCAAUA